UACGUAGGCAGCAAGCGUUGUUCGGAGUUACUGGGCGUAAAGGGUGUGUAGGCGGUUGGAUAAGUGUGGUGUGAAAUCUCCCGGCUCAACUGGGAGGGUGCGCUACAAACUGUCUGACUAGAGUGCGGGAUGGGAAAGUGGAAUUCCUGGUGUAGCGGUGAAAUGCGUAGAUAUCAGGAGGAACACCGGUGGUGUAGACGGCUUUCUGGACCGUAACUGACGCUGAUACACGAAGGCGUGGGUAGCAAACAGG
rnacentral:rRNA from 1 species